rnacentral:rRNA from 1 species
CCUACGGGGGGCAGCAGUGGGGAAUAUUGCGCAAUGGGCGAAAGCCUGACGCAGCGACGCCGCGUGAGGGAUGAAGGUCUUCGGAUCGUAAACCUCUGUCAGCAGGGAAGAACGGUCACUGUGCUAAUCAGCAGUGAAUUGACGGUACCUGCAAAGGAAGCACCGGCUAACUCCGUGCCAGCAGCCGCGGUAAUACGGAGGGUGUGAGCGUUAAUCGGAAUUACUGGGCGUAAAGCGCUCGUAGGCGGUAUGUCAAGUCAAGGGGGAAAUCCCCGCGCUCAACGUGGGAACUGCCUUUGAAACUGGCAAACUGGAGUGUGUGAGAGGAGAGUGGAAUUCCAGGUGUAGGAGUGAAAUCCGUAGAUAUCUGGAGGAAUAUCAGUGGCGAAGGCGACUAUCUGGCACAUAACUGACGCUGAGGAGCGAAAGCGUGGGUAGCAAACAGGAUUAGAUACCCCAGUAGUC